GGACUACUCGGGUAUCUAAUCCUGUUUGCUCCCCACGCUGUCGCGCCUCAGCGUCAGUUACGGACCAGGUCGCCGCCUUCGCCACCGGUGUUCUUCCCAAUAUCUACGAAUUUCACCUCUACACUGGGAAUUCCACGACCCUCUUCCGCACUCCAGCAAUCCAGUCUCGAAGGCAUUUCCGAGGUUGAGCCCCGGGCUUUCACCCCCGACUUGAACCGCCGCCUACGCGCGCUUUACGCCCAGUAAUUCCGAACAACGCUAGCCCCCUUCGUAUUACCGCGGCGGCUGGCAC
rnacentral:rRNA from 1 species